GCUAACUUUGGGGCAGCGGCGGGGGGAAUACGAAGGGUGCAUGCGGUAUGCGGAAUUACGGGUCGUAAAGCGCGCGUAGGUGGUUUGGUAAGAGGGAUGUGAAAUCCCCGGGCUCAACCUGGGAACUGCAUCCAUAACUGACUGACUAGAGUACGGGUGAGGGGGGGGGAAUUUCCUGUGUAGCGGUGAAAUGCGUAGAUAUAGGAAGUAACACCAGUGGCGAAGGCGACCACCUGGACUGAUACUGACACUGAGGUGCGAAAGCGUGGGGAGCAAACAGGAUUAGAUACCCCUGUAGUC
rnacentral:rRNA from 1 species